rnacentral:rRNA from 1 species
GAUGAACGCUAGCGACAGGCUUAACACAUGCAAGUCGAGGGGCAGCAUAAGGUAGCAAUACUGAGAUGGCGACCGGCGCACGGGUGAGUAACGCGUAUGCAACCUACCUAUCAGAGGGGAAUAACCCGGCGAAAGUCGGACUAAUACCGCAUAAAACAGGGGUCCCGCAUGGGGAUAUUUGUUAAAGAUUUAUCGCUGCUAGAUGGGCAUGCGUUCCAUUAGAUAGUUGGUGAGGUGACGGCUCACCAAGUCUACGAUGGAUAGGGGUUCUGAGAGGAAGGUCCCCCACAAUGGUACUGCAACACGGACCAGAAUCCUACGGGAGGCAGCAGUGAGGAAUAUUGGUCAAUGGGCGAGAGCCUGAACCAGCCAAGUCGCGUGAAGGAAGAAGGAUCUAUGGUUCGUAAACUUCUUUUACAUGGGAAUAAAGUGUGGUACGUGUACCAUUUUGUAUGUACCAUAUGAAUAAGGAUCGGCUAACUCCGUGCCAGCCGCCGCCGUAAGAC